ensembl:lincRNA
AUGCGAGGCCCGGACAGCGCCCCCGCGCAUCCCGCUCUGGGUGCUCUGGGACCAAGGUGCCAGCUGCUCCUCUCCUGGGGGCUGGGUCCCUGGAAAAGCAGAGCAGAUCCAGCCCAGCACGGUGUCGGCAGCAAUCGACAGGCGCUCGCUCAAGGAGCUCGGCCCCGGUGCGUCCUGCACCCGUCCACACUGGCAGGCAAUGAGGCUCAGGCGGCGCCCACGCGCGCUCCUGUCUUAGUCACGGUUCUGUUGCAAAAUGUGAAAAUGAAGGGGAGGAGCUCCAGAUCCCGUUCAUCACAGACAACCCCUGCAUCAUGUGUGUGUGCCUGGACCCUUGCAACAGACUCCCUGCUGUCCCCGGAGCCCGGAAGGUGGCCGGUGUCCCUUGAGCCGCAGAUCCUGCUGGUAGCUGGAGCUGGAACCCCAAAUGUGGUUCGUGGUCUUCUCACUGGCUCAGAAAGAGCUCACCAGGAGGGCAUACAAAUACUCCUCGAAUGAAUUUCGUCUCCCCGUUUCCUGAGGGCAGGGGAAGGAGAUGAUUCACGCUGUCUGCUGCAGGGCGCCCAGGGUGCAUUGGCCAGGUGUGAGGAGGGGCGGGCACAGAGCGUGUGCCCCCCGCAGCCUCCUCCCCGUCCUGGUUGGCAAAUGCUCCUGUCAGCUGUUCUCCUGGAGUUUCUCCAGUGCCGGCUCCACCCCUCGUACCCGCUGUUGGAUUCCCUUUUGGGUGGGGAGGCGAGGUGGAGACUUCGGCAUUGGGGCAUGGACUCCGCCCGCCACGUGCCUGCCUCCCAUCUGCCCCUGAACAGGACUCUGCAUCUUGGCCUCCGGUGAGCCCUGGGGACCCGGUGUGCAGCACGGUGGUGUCUGAGAGGGGCACGCUGACUGUCACUGGCCGCUCCCCCCACACUGCAGGGCUGCGAACACUGUGUCAUUGUGCAGCACGGUGGUGUCUGAGAGGGGCACGCUGACUGUCACUGGCCGCUCCCCCCACACUGCUGCGAACACUGUGUCGCUGGCAGACCCUUUGCUUCUGUGAUCUGCGGUGUAAUAGAAAGCAGGCCUCUACUUUCUUUGGGCUACUGUUUUUAUUUGGUGGUGGUUUCGUCUGUGUUCUGCCCUCUCUGAUGUUUUGGUUCCAUUUCAGAGUGUGAUUAAACAGGACAGGGAGCUGUGUGGCACUGCCCUGCUUUACACCAGCGCCGUGCUCGCUCCCGCCCACCCGCUGUCCUAACGCCUCUGUCUCUGUGCUGCGAGUUCCCUCAAAAGGCCAAGAGCAAAGCCACCAGGCUUCAUCCCUUAGAUGGAGUCAGGACCCCAGACGAUCCCUCCAGCAGACUGAAGCCUGUGUAGAAAAUGAAAAGCUAGUGGCUCCCACAUGAAGAGGCCCUUCUCAUCCCGUCGUCUGCCGGCCACGCCGUGUUUCCAGGGAGCGGUGUCAGGAGAGCAGUCCGGGUGGCGCACGAGGCCACACAUCCGAGCACAUCGUCUCUGCGUGGGACCGGGCACGGAAAUGCACUGUUCUGGCCAGCGGAGCAGCAGGGGCCUUACUGCUUCCUCCGCCCCUGCCCUUUGCUUUAAUCUCCCUCUGUUCUGUGCUGCAGAGGCGAAUUUCUUCAUGGGAUUUGACUUGUUGCAAAAUAACUGAGGGCCCAGGGGGCUUCAUAAAGGCUUUUAAAUGGUCGGGCUUCAAGGGCAGCAUUGUUCCGAGUUUGCGCCGUUUCGCUGGGUGGGAGGAGGCCGUGUUCCCCGGCACGGUCUCUGCGGUAAAGGCUGGCUGAGCCAGACAGGAGGGGAAAGAACAGCACUCCAGAUGUGGGGCCGUGAACUGCGGUGUUCUUACAGGGUAUUUAACAGUGAGUCUCCACAGUUCCGGCCAGCCGUGGGGCGCCGCCUGCCUCCCCGGACGGUGCUCCCUCCUGUGCAGAUUGGAGGAGGGGCGGGAGCUGGGGUCUGAGGCUCUGGCCCAUCUUGCAAAUGACCCAGUGCAAAGAGACUGGCUACGUUAAGUCGAGGACUUACGCUGUCCGUCCUAGAAGCACUGCUUUUACUUGUGCAUUCAAAAGGAGACCGUAAGCCAGGCUUGCAAUGGUCUGAAAAGAGGGAGCGCUCCACAAAGGCAAACCUUCAUGUUCCUGGCUUCGGGAGGCGGCUGUCCUCGCCUCUCGACCAGGCGGUGCAUUGUAGUGCUUAGGUCGCAGGCUGACAUCAGAGGGUCGCGGGUGUGAAUCUCUGUCCCGGCUGGCUGUGUAAACCUGGUGGAGCACAGUGGCCCCUGGGCUUCGGCUUCCUUACCUGUGAGAUGGAGGGAGGCAGACCAGAGAUGUAUUUCCCUGAGCCUGCUGCGAGGGUUAAAUGACAGAACGCACAGGACAUCCUCAGUGCAGCCUGGCUCGUAGCAGAGUUAGGAAUCAGGCGCUGUGAUAAGAAAUACUCAGCAUCUUGCCUGGGCCACUGUGUGCUGCUCAUUGUUGGAUGAAAGAUGUAUCAGCACUGGCUGGGGCUUGGGCCAUGAAAGGGACUUGCAGGAUCAGUGGAGCGAAUCGUGGGCACAGCAGGGUCUGGAGAGGGCUUGGGGUACAAGCUGGGGUGAGGCUUCGAGGCCAAGGCUGACGGCCCUCACGCUGCCCAGAGCCGGCAGGGAGGCGAGAUGUCCUGCGAAACGCUGGGGAGUUUCGGUUCUUUUCUCUUCCAGCCUCCCUUUCUGCACCAUAGCAAUGGCUUUGGUGGUAUUUUUUUCUGCCCAUUUUUUCAAGUGCUGUGGAUCUGAGAGAUGACCCAGAGCCUUAUGCUUUAGAGCAGCUGACCUUAUCUUUUUUCUCCCGCUUCUUUCUCUGUAAGAGUUAGGGGGAAGUCAGUAGUGUCAUGAGUACCGAAGAAGAAGCCAGCAACAGCUUAAUUGCAGUAAUAAAUCACCAACCAAACUGAAUACUGCCACUGGGGCCCAGAGGGCGAUCUCAGGGCCUUCCUCCACCCUCUUCACUAUUAUUUCUGGAGACCGAGAGCAGAUUUCGUGCUAAGGAGAUGGGCUGGAGCAGAUGCAGGCUUGCACUAGCAACUCCUCAGUGUUCACACGCACUGGCGAAGGGUCCUCUGACCUGGGGCUGCAGAAGGGAACCGCUUCACCGUCUCCGGUGGUCAGAAGCCCUGGAAGGUGGUGGGGCCUGCCCCUUGCGUCUCUCUUCCGCUUUUUUUCUCGGGGGUACGGGGGAUUGAACCCUGAGAUGGCCGCGCACCUCCUGUAGCUUUGACUUUGAAACAGGGUCUCAGUGAGCUGCCACAGCUGGGCCGGACUGCGGUCCCCCUGCCACUGACUCCGAGUGGCUGGGGUUACAGGUGUGCACCCCUGAGCUCGGGUCUUUCUUCAGGUUUCACCUAUCUUGCCUGCAUUUGAGAACCUUCAAGGCCCGAAGCCAAGUCUGCUUGCCCAAGGCCCAGCCCACCCCUUCCUCCCGGACCUCACCGCUGACCCAGGUUGGCUGUCUCUCCAAACAAUCCAAACCAGCUCCACUACACGCUGAUCUCUUCCCCACGUCUCAGCAAUCUCCCGACUCACAGGACACACCUGUACAUAAGGCCAGCCUCCCUGGCUGGUCCCUUACCCCAGGCCCGGGGCCCUGUUCACUCCCGCUCCACUGCCUGCUGGGUUUUGGGGAACCUGAGACACUCAAGUUCCCGUGCACUCUUCCUCUGCCGCAAGAAACCAG